rnacentral:pre_miRNA from 1 species
CGUCCCCACCGGACCCACAGAGGGCUAGGCCCGGGCCUGCCGGAGGACCAUUCACGCCCUAUGGUCCUCCGGCGGACCCGGGCCUAGCCCUCUGUGGGUCCGGCGGGGACU